GCUGGCAGGAGGUUUUCAUCUGGAAUAAAUCUUCCCCGCUACCAUGAGCCUAAAAAGUAUUAUCCCAAACCUUACCACUGCUCAAUGUCUAACCCGAGCCUCAGAAAUGAGGUUCUACCUCAUGAGGACCAGACUUUGGCUCCAUGAGAUCCUGACAAGUUAAUUCAUCUGCCACUGGCAAAGACACUGAAAGGAGCGAUGGUAAUUGAGGUGGAUGCA